rnacentral:SRP_RNA from 1 species
GCUGGGCGUGGUGGCGGGCGCCUGUAGUCCCAGCUACUGGGAGGCUGAGGCAGGAGAAUCUCUUGAACCCAGGAGGUGGAGGUUGCAGUGAGCCGAGAUCAUGCCACUGCACUCCAGCCUGGGCAACAGAGUAAGACUCUGUCUUCA